GUUUCCAACAGCAGUGAGACUGCCUGACAGCCCAGGCAGUCUCCCUGCAGGCACUACUAACUACAAGUAUUUCCCACACCUCACACAUUGCUACACACAGAGGCCCAAACUUAGAGGUCCAAACUUAUCACUAACAGCUACUCAUACCACUCACAGCUGCCCACAAGUAGCCACAUACAUCACUCACAGCUAUACACAAAGCCAGACUUAUACAUCACACACAGAAAGCCACAACACACACAUCACACAUAGCAACAACACUUACAGACACACUACACCUACACAAGACACACACACCACACAUCCACUCAACAUUUUAAUAAAUAGUCACAUUACAUAACAUUAAAAAAAUAGCACAAGGAAAGAUAUUCCUGGUGCACACCCUAAUAAAAGUAUGGGCAAAUGAGCUGGCAGUAUCAGCAAAGAUUGUUAAUACUGGCCAGCAGGGAG